UACGUAGGGCGCAAGCGUUGUCCGGAAUUAUUGGGCGUAAAGAGCUCGUAGGCGGCUUGUCACGUCGGGUGUGAAAGCCCGGGGCUUAACCCCGGGGUCUGCAUUCGAUACGGGCAGGCUAGAGUGUGGUAGGGGAGAUCGGAAUUCCUGGUGUAGCGGUGAAAUGCGCAGAUAUCAGGAGGAACACCGGUGGCGAAGGCGGAUCUCUGGGCCGAUACUGACGCUGAGGAGCGAAAGCGUGGGGAGCGAACAGG
rnacentral:rRNA from 1 species